rnacentral:rRNA from 1 species
UAACACAUGCAAGUCGAACGGUAACAGGAAGAAGCUUGCUUCUUUGCUGACGAGUGGCGGACGGGUGAGUAAUGUCUGGGAAACUGCCUGAUGGAGGGGGAUAACUACUGGAAACGGUAGCUAAUACCGCAUAACGUCGCAAGACCAAAGAGGGGGACCUUCGGGCCUCUUGCCAUCGGAUGUGCCCAGAUGGGAUUAGCUAGUAGGUGGAGUAACGGCUCACCUAGGCGACGAUCCCUAGCUGGUCUGAGAGGAUGACCAGCCACACUGGAACUGAGACACGGUCCAGACUCCUACGGGAGGCAGCAGUGGGGAAUAUUGCACAAUGGGCGCAAGCCUGAUGCAGCCAUGCCGCGUGUAUGAAGAAGGCCUUCGGGUUGUAAAGUACUUUCAGCGGGGAGGAAGGGAGUAAAGUUAAUACCUUUGCUCAUUGACGUUACCCGCAGAAGAAGCACCGGCUAACUCCGUGCCAGCAGCCGCGGUAAUACGGAGGGUGCAAGCGUUAAUCGGAAUUACUGGGCGUAAAGCGCACGCAGGCGGUUUGUUAAGUCAGAUGUGAAAUCCCCGGGCUCAACCUGGGAACUGCAUCUGAUACUGGCAAGCUUGAGUCUCGUAGAGGGGGGUAGAAUUCCAGGUGUAGCGGUGAAAUGCGUAGAGAUCUGGAGGAUACCGGUGGCGA